rnacentral:rRNA from 1 species
CCUACGGGAGGCAGCAGUGGGGAAUUUUGGACAAUGGGGGAAACCCUGAUCUAGCCAUCCCGCGUGUGCGAUGAAGGUCUUCGGGUUGUAAAGCACUUUUGGCAGGAAAGAAACGUCUCGGGCUAAUACCCCGUGAAACUGACGGUACCUGCAGAAUAAGCACCGGCUAACUACGUGCCAGCAGCCGCGGUAAUACGUAGGGUGCAAGCGUUAAUCGGAAUUACUGGGCGUAAAGCGUGCGCAGGCGGUUCGGAAAGAAAGAUGUGAAAUCCCAGAGCUUAACUUUGGAACUGCAUUUUUAACUGCCGGGCUAGAGUGUGUCAGAGGGAGGUGGAAUUCCGCGUGUAGCAGUGAAAUGCGUAGAUAUGCGGAGGAACACCGAUGGCGAAGGCAGCCUCCUGGGAUAACACUGACGCUCAUGCACGAAAGCGUGGGGAGCAAACAGGAUUAGAUACCCUGGUAGUCCACGCCCUAAACGAUGUCAACUAGCUGUUGGGGCCUUCGGGCCUUGGUAGCGCAGCUAA